rnacentral:rRNA from 1 species
GACGUAGGGCGCGAGCGUUGUCCGGAUUUAUUGGGCGUAAAGAGCUCGUAGGCGGCUUGUCGCGUCGACCGUGAAAACUCGCAGCUCAACUGCGAGCCUGCGGUCGAUACGGGCAGGCUAGAGUUCGGUAGGGGAGACUGGAAUUCCUGGUGUAGCGGUGAAAUACGCAGAUAUCAGGAGGAACACCGAUGGCGAAGGCAGGUCUCUGGGCCGAUACUGACGCUGAGGAGCGAAAGCGUGGGGAGCGAACAGG